rnacentral:rRNA from 1 species
AGAGUUUGAUCCUGGCUCAGGAUUAACGCUGGCGGCGUGCAUGAAACAUGCAAGUCGAGCGCGGUGUGAUGAGGGGUAACCCAAUUCACAUCUAGCGGCGAACGGGUGAGUAACACGUGAGCAACCUACCUUUGAGUUGGGGAUAGCCCUGGGAAACCAGGAUUAAUACCCGAUGUGGUCACAACAGGACAUCCUGAUGUGAGUAAAGGCGUAAGCCGCUCGAUGACGGGCUCGCGGCCUAUUAGCUUGUUGGUGGGGUAACGGCCUACCAAGGCGAUGAUGGGUAGCUGGUCUGAGAGGACGAUCAGCCACACUGGGACUGAGACACGGCCCAGACUCCUACGGGAGGCAGCAGUUAGGAAUUUUCCGCAAUGGGCGAAAGCCUGACGGAGCAACGCCGCGUGAGUGAUGAAGACCUUCGGGUUGUAAAGCUCUGUCGGAGGGGAAGAACACAAUGACGGUACCCUCCAAGAAAGCCCCGGCUAACUACGUGCCAGCAGCCGCGGUAAUACGUAGGGGGCGAGCGUUAUCCGGAUUUACUGGGCGUAAAGCGCGUUAAGGCGGCCGACAAAGUUGGUGGUGAAAUUUCAGGGCUCAACUCUGAAACUGCCUCCAAUACUGGUCGGCUUGAGUGCGAGAGAGGAAGGUGGAAUUCCCGGUGUAGUAGUGAAAUGCGUAGAUAUCGGGAGGAACACCAGUGGCGAAGGCGGCCUUCUGGCUCGCAACUGACGCUGUAGCGCGAAAGCGUGGGGAGCGAACGGGAUUAGAUACCCCGGUAGUCCACGCCCUAAACGAUGUGCACUAGGUGUUGGGCGUAUUGACGCGCUCAGUGCCGCAGCUAACGCAUUAAGUGCACCGCCUGGGGAGUAC